GGAGUGGAUCGGGCGAUCGCGCCUGUCUCGCACAGGUGAGGAAAGUCCGAACUCCGCAGGGCAGGGUGCUGGGUAACGCCCAGGAGGGGAAACCCUACGGAAAGUGCAACAGAGAGCAGACCGCCAGCGGACGGGGUCCCCGACCCCGUUGCGGGCAAGGGUGAAACGGCGAGGUAAGAGCUCACCGCGUCUCUGGUGACAGAGACGGCACGGUAAACCCCACCCGGAGCAAGGCCGAAUAGGAGAGGAGAGGUGGCCCGCCUCGGUAUCCCUCUCGGGUAGGCCGCGUCGAGGCGUCGGAUAACCGGCGCCCCAGAGGAAUGAUCGCCCCCUCGGAGCAAUCCGGGGGACAGAAUUCGGCUUACAGAUCCACUCCGGCC
rnacentral:RNase_P_RNA from 2 species